GUGCUUAACACAUGCAAGUCGAAGCGAAAGGCCCUUCGGGGUACUCGAGUGGCGAACGGGUGAGUAACACGUGGGUGAUCUGCCCUGCACUUUGGGAUAAGCCUGGGAAACUGGGUCUAAUACCGAAUAGGACCACGCGCUUCAUGGUGUGUGGUGGAAAGCUUUUGCGGUGUGGGAUGGGCCCGCGGCCUAUCAGCUUGUUGGUGGGGUAAUGGCCUACCAAGGCGACGACGGGUAGCCGGCCUGAGAGGGUGACCGGCCACACUGGGACUGAGAUACGGCCCAGACUCCUACGGGAGGCAGCAGUGGGGAAUAUUGCACAAUGGGCGCAAGCCUGAUGCAGCGACGCCGCGUGAGGGAUGACGGCCUUCGGGUUGUAAACCUCUUUCAAUAGGGACGAAGCGCAAGUGACGGUACCUAUAGAAGAAGCACCGGCCAACUACGUGCCAGCAGCCGCGGUAAUACGUAGGGUGCGAGCGUUGUCCGGAAUUACUGGGCGUAAAGAGCUCGUAGGUGGUUUGUCGCGUUGC
rnacentral:rRNA from 1 species